CCCGGACUCAUUAUCCGGGUGUGGGAGCUGUUGAAAGGAGCUGAAGCAGGAAGGGGCUUUCAAGGGCUCCUCCUAAAGCUUCAAAGUUCACACCUUGAUUAAGAGGAAUCACUCCUCAUGGGGCCCAAGGGACCAUACAGGAUGCCAGAGAUGCAACCCAGGUCAGCUGCAUGCAUGCAAUGACCUGAAGGCAUUAGCCAAAGAAUUAGGAGAACUCCAGAUUGAAGAAACAAGUCAUCCACUGAAGAAGGUGACUGAUUACUCCUCCAGUGAGGAGUCAGAAAAUAGUGAUGAAGAGGAGGAAGAUGGAGAGAGUAAAAACCCAUGAUGGGACAGUAGCUGUCAGUGACAUACCCAGACUCAUGUGCAGGGAGCCCACGCGUCAAGGCUCAUAGAUCAUCCAGCCACAGGCAGAGACCCACACACAGUGUCGCCAUCCCUCAGCCCGAAGACUUCUUAUGAGAUCCUACAGUUCUGUGAGGAAGAAGCCAGAAGGUCCUUCUAUAGCCCAGGUUUGGACUAUCACAGAAAGGCGGAGAAACAUCAUGAAAAGGAAAAAGAGAGAAAGGAUUCAUGACCAUUGUAUGAAUAGGUGGGUAAAUAUUGGCCAUGAAAAAAGCAGUGUUUAGAGCUGUCUGAGGGAAAAAAAUAAAUCCUUCUCCUCCCUUCCCCCUUGCAUUGUGGGGCAACAUGGCUGUGAGAAUCUGGCUCUGUUCUUCCUCUCACUGGGAGCUGCCACUGGUAAUGACUCAGCACAGCACUUUGCCAGCAGGAGAUGCUGCCUCAGGUGUCCAAUCAGGCCUGGGGGUACUGAGGUCUCAUUUGAACAGACUCAGAAAUUUCCUAAUUCAU